GACGAACGCUGGCGGCGUGCUUAACACAUGCAAGUCGAACGGAAAGGCCCUGCUUUUGUGGGGUGCUCGAGUGGCGAACGGGUGAGUAACACGUGAGUAACCUGCCCUUGACUUUGUGAUAACUUCAGGAAACUGGGGCUAAUACCGGAUAGGAGCUCCUGCUGCAUGGUGGGGGUUGGAAAGUUUCGGCGGUUGGGGAUGGACUCGCGGCUUAUCAGCUUGUUGGUGGGGUAGUGGCUUACCAAGGCUUUGACGGGUAGCCGGCCUGAGAGGGUUACCGGCCACAUUGGGACUGAGAUACGGCCCAGACUCCUACGGGAGGCAGCAGUGGGGAAUAUUGCAGAAUGGGCGGAAGCCUGAUGCAGCAACGCCGCGUGCGGGAUGACGGCCUUCGGGUUGUAAACCGCUUUCGCCUGUGACGAAGCGUGAGUGACGGUAAUGGGUAAAGAAGCACCGGCUAACUACGUG
rnacentral:rRNA from 1 species